rnacentral:rRNA from 1 species
UACAGAGGGUGCGAGCGUUAAUCGGAAUUACUGGGCGUAAAGCGUGCGUAGACGGUUAUUUAAGUCGGGUGUGAAAGCCCCGGGCUCAACCUGGGAAUUGCAUUCGAGACUGAAUAGCUAGGGUACGGUAGAGGGAAGCGGAAUUUCCGGUGUAGCGGUGAAAUGCGUAGAUAUUCGGAAGAACACCAGUGGCGAAGGCGACUUACUGGACACAUAUUGACGCUGAGGUGCGAAAGCGUGGGGAGCAAACAGG